rnacentral:rRNA from 1 species
ACAGCAGUAGCCGCGGGAAUACGAAGGGUGCAAGCGUUACUCGGAAUUACUGGGCGUAAAGCGUGCGUAGGUGGUGGUUUAAGUCCGUUGUGAAAGCCCUGGGCUCAACCUGGGAAUUGCAGUGGGUACUGGGUCACUAGAGUGUGGUAGAGGAUAGUGGAAUUUCCGGUGUAGCAGUGAAAUGCGUAGAGAUCGGAAGGAACAUCUGUGGCGAAGGCGACUAUCUGGGCCAACACUGACACUGAGGCACGAAAGCGUGGGGAGCAAACAGGAUUAGAUACCCCGGUAGUCCCUGUCUCUUAUAC